rnacentral:rRNA from 1 species
GAGAGGUGCUGCAUGGCUGUCGUCAGCUCGUGUUGUGAAAUGUUGGGUUAAGUCUCGCAACGAGCGCAACCCCUAUCGUCUGUUGCCAGCAUUAAGUUGGGCACUCUGACGAGACUGCCUGGGUUAACCAGGAGGAAGGUGGGGAUGACGUCAAGUCCUCAUGGCCCUUAUGUCUAGGGCUACACACGUAAUACAAUGGCGCGUACAGAGGGAAGCGAACUCGCAAGGGGGAGCAAAUCUCAAAAAGCGCGCCUCAGUUCGGAUUGAAGUCUGCAACUCGACUUCAUGAAGUUGGAAUCGCUAGUA